GACUUCAGGUGGGGGGAUAAGCAGCAGGAACAGAUGAACUCUUAAAAGCAAAAAUGCUGUUUCAUGUAAAUGUCCCUGGUAAUGAAGAAGAAAGGGAGGCAAAACAUGACAGAGAAACAGAAAAUUGUUGCUUUCAGAUGCUUUUAAUCUGCCCAGACGGUGUAUGGCCAGCCAGGUCCAUAUGGCAC